GACGAACGCUGGCGGCGUGCCUAAUACAUGCAAGUCGAACGCAGUGGGGACGGGUGAGUAACACGUGGGUAACCUCCCAUCAGAGGGGAUAACACUUGGAAACAGGUGCUAAACCGAUACUGAUGGAUGGACCCGCGGUGCAUUAGCUAGUUGGUGAGGUAACGGCGAACAAAGGCCACGAUGCGUAGCAGGUCUGAGAGGGUGAUCGGCAACACUGGGAGUGAGACACGGCCCAGACUCCUACGGUAGGCAGCAGUAGGGAAUUGUGGGCAAUGGGCGAAAGUCUGACCGAGCAACGCCGCGUGUGUGAAGAAGGUCUUCGGAUCGUAAAACUCUGUUGUUAUAGAAGCGGUAUCUAACCAGUAAGCCACGGCUAACUACGUGCCAGCAGCCGCGGUAAUAC
rnacentral:rRNA from 1 species